CUCAGAAGGCCUGAGUCGUUUGAAACAGACUGUUCUUGUUCAAGCAGAAGGUUCCAGUCUACCUGAGAUGACUUUCCAGCACUGUCCUUUCUUGAUGCGUUUUGGCUGCAGUCAUGAUAGCCUCUUGUUUGAAGUCAUUGGGAGCUGAGGAACAAGAUGUUUCACUCGGAGAUACGCUGCAGCCAGGACCCUCAAGUUCUUUACCUUCUUGGUCCUGGACACUUGGAUGUUCUUCAUGUGCACGUCCACCAGGUGGCGCUGAAGGAUCCCUGGAGAACCUGAUCUCCUGAAGUGGUGGAAACAUGGCGUCAUGGUCAACUUUCUGUCCAACAUGUUGAGAGGUGACGUAAGCUACAAAACAAGCUCAGCAAAUUUAAGUUUGAAGUGCCCUCGCCUGCUUUUUCCUUUGACUCCAUAUGCAGGUCAGCUUCCAGUCCAAGUGCCAUCGGGGACUCGGCCAGCAAGCUCCUCCACCUGCUGGGGAAAAGAGACAAGUUCUACAUGAACGUGCAGAAGGUCCUCAACGCUGCCUUCAGCCUUGUUGCCUUGCUAAUACAUACAACAGCAGCUUGACUGGUUCCCCGUUAAUCUCUUGUUGUGUUCAGGUCUCCUGGAGAAGUCUGUACCACCGUGGAGUCUUCAGAAGACAUUUGAUACGAAGACUGUUCCUCUCGUCACACUCAAACAGCUUCUGCCGAAGGUUGCGGUCGACAGUUAACCACAAAUGUGUCCACUUCCAUGUUCCUCGUCAUUCCGGGGCCAUCUUUCCUACAAGGUGAAACGCUGCAUUCACGAUACGGAGCAGAGCUGCACACCAAAAAUGUUUUUCUUGUUGCUUCCUUUCAUCCACAAGGUGCUGAAGCCAAAUUUUGGAGCAGCCUGAGAAGCGGGAGACCUUGACCACUGGACGGUACGCGCUUUGAAAUGUCUUCAUUUCACAAUUGGGUCCAGUUUUUUGUUUUUCCACAUUUCUUCCAGAGUUGCAGAGGAACACGCAGCCGUGCGAGUGCUCUCAGGCCCAGAAAACAAGUGGCCCGUCUUCCUCGCUGGUCCGCACACCGGGCCACGCUCUCGUCACACAGCCGACCACUUCACCAGGCAGCGACGAGGAGACGGUUACUGAUGUCAUCAGACUUUGACUUGGUUUCCUUUGUGAUUUCAUGUCUGUUGCUUAACAUCUACUCUGCAAAUAAAUAAAAGCUGAUUACAACA